rnacentral:rRNA from 1 species
UAAGAGCUCGUAGGCGGUUUGUCGCGUCUGCUGUGAAAAGCCCGGGGCUCAACCCCGGGUCUGCAGUGGGUACGGGCAGACUAGAGUGCAGUAGGGGAGACUGGAAUUCCUGGUGUAGCGGUGAAAUGCGCAGAUAUCAGGAGGAACACCGAUGGCGAAGGCAGGUCUCUGGGCUGUUACUGACGCUGAGGAGCGAAAGCAUGGGGAGCGAACAGGAUUAGAUACCCUGGUAGUCCAUGCCGUAAACGUUGGGCACUAGGUGUGGGGGACAUUCCACGUUCUCCGCGCCGUAGCUAACGCAUUAAGUGCCCCGCCUGGGGAGUACGGCCGCAAGGCUAAAACUCAAAGGAAUUGACGGGGGCCCGCACAAGCGGCGGAGCAUGCGGAUUAAUUCGAUGCAACGCGAAGAACCUUACCAAGGCUUGACAUYCACCGGACCGCACUGGAGACAGUGCUUCCCUUCGGGGCUGGUGGACAGGUGGUGCAUGGUUGUCGUCAGCUCGUGUCGUGAGAUGUUGGGUUAAGUCCCGCAACGAGCGCAACCCUCGUUCUAUGUUGCCAGCACGUGAUGGUGGGGACUCAUAGGAGACUGCCGGGGUCAACUCGGAGGAAGGUGGGGAUGACGUCAAAUCAUCAUGCCCCUUAUGUCUUGGGCUUCACGCAUGCUACAAUGGCCGGUACAAAGGGUUGCGAUACUGUGAGGUGGAGCUAAUCCCAAAAAGCCGGUCUCAGUUCGGAUUGAGGUCUGCAACUCGACCUCAUGAAGUCGGAGUCGCUAGUAAUCGCAGAUCAGCAACGCUGCGGUGAAUACGUUCCCGGGCCUUGUACACACCGCCCGUCAAGUCACGAAAGUUGGUAACACCCGAAGCCGGUGGCCUAACCCC